rnacentral:tRNA from 1 species
GGUUCUAUAGUGUAGUGGUUAGCACUCUGUACUUUGAACCCAGCGUCUCGGGUUCGAAUCCCGAUAGAAUCU